AGUGAACGCUGGCGGUAGGCCUAACACAUGCAAGUCGAACGGCAGCACAGUAAGAGCUUGCUCUUACGGGUGGCGAGUGGCGGACGGGUGAGGAAUACAUCGGAAUCUACUUUUUCGUGGGGGAUAACGUAGGGAAACUUACGCUAAUACCGCAUACGACCUACGGGUGAAAGCAGGGAUUCUUCGAACCUUGCCGGAUGGAAUGAGCCGAUGUCGGAUUAGCUAGUUGGCGGGGUAAAGGCCCACCAAGGCGACGAUCCGUAGCUGGUCUGAGAGGAUGAUCAGCCACACUGGAACUGAGACACGGUCCAGACUCCUACGGGAGGCAGCAGUGGGGAAUAUUGGACAAUGGGCGCAAGCCUGAUCCAGCCAUACCGCGUGGGUGAAGAAGGCCUUCGGGUUGUAAAGCCCUUUUGUUGGGAAAGAAAAGCAGCAGGUUAAUACCCCGCUGUUCUGACGGUACCCAAAGAAUAAGCACCGGCUAACUUCGUG
rnacentral:rRNA from 1 species